UGAGGAUGGCGGACGGGUGAGUAACGCGUAAGGAACUUGCCUCUUGGUCUGGGACAACUGUUGGAAACGACAGCUAAUACCAGAUAUUAUGAGAUUCUCGCAUGAGAAACUUAUGAAAGCUAUAUGCGCCAAGAGAGAGCCUUGCGUUCCAUUAGCUAGUUGGUGGGGUAACGGCCCACCAAGGCGACGAUGGAUAGCCGGCCUGAGAGGGUGAACGGCCACAAGGGGACUGAGACACGGCCCUUACUCCUACGGGAGGCAGCAGUGGGGAAUAUUGGACAAUGGGCCACAAGCCUGAUCCAGCAAUUCUGUGUGCACGAUGAAGGUCUUCGGAUUGUAAAGUGCUUUCAGUUGGGAAGAAGAAAGUGACGGUACCAACAGAAGAAGCGACGGCUAAAUACGUGCCAGCAGCCGCGGUAAUACGUAUGUCGCAAGCGUUAUCCGGAUUUAUUGGGCGUAAAGCGCGUCUAGGCGGAAAAAUAAGUCUGAUGUUAAAAUGCGGGGCUCAACUCCGUAUUGCGUUGGAAACUGUUUUUCUAGAGUACUGGAGAGGUGGGCGGAACUACAAGUGUAGAGGUGAAAUUCGUAGAUAUUUGUAGGAAUGCCGAUGGAGAAGUCAGCUCACUGGACAGAUACUGACGCUAAAGCGCGAAAGCGUGGGGA
rnacentral:rRNA from 1 species